rnacentral:misc_RNA from 1 species
AAAUGCGAUAAGUAAUGUGAAUUGCAGAAUUCAGUGAAUCAUCGAAUCUUUGAACGCACAUUGCGCCCGCCAGUAUUCUGGCGGGCAUGCCUGUCCGAGCGUCAUUUCAACCAUCAAGCCCCCGGGCUUGUGUUGGGGACCUGCGGCUGCCCGCAGGCCCUGAAAACCAGUGGCGGGCUCGCUGUCACACCGAGCGUAGUAGCAAUCACCUCGCUCAGGGCGUGCUGCGGGUUCCGGCCGUUAAACAGCCUUACAAAACCCAAGGUUGACCUCGGGUCAGGUAGGAAGACCCGCUGAACUUGAGC